rnacentral:rRNA from 1 species
UACGGAGGGUGCAAGCGUUAAUCGGAAUUACUGGGCGUAAAGCGCACGCAGGUGGCUGAGUCAGUCGAUUGUGAAAGCCCUGGGCUUAACCUGGGAAUUGCAGUCGAUACUACUCAGCUAGAGUAUGGGAGAGGGUAGUGGAAUUCCCGGUGUAGCGGUGAAAUGCGUAGAUACUGGGGAGGAACACCAGUGGCGAAGGCGGCUACCUGGACCGGUUCUGACGCUGAUGCGCGAAAGCGUGGGUAGCAAACAGG